rnacentral:rRNA from 1 species
UCAAAGAUUAAGCCAUGCAUGUCUAAGUAUAAGCAACUAUACUGUGAAACUGCGAAUGGCUCAUUAAAUCAGUUAUCGUUUAUUUAUAGUACCUUACUACAUGGAUAACCGUGGUAAUUCUAGAGCUAAUACAUGCUAAAAACCCCGACUUACGAAGGGGUGUACUUAUUAGAUAAAAAGCCAAUGCCUUCGGGGCUCUGUGGUGAUUCAUAAUAAUUCAACGAAUCGCAUGGCCUUGCGCCGGCGAUGGUUCAUUCAAAUUUCUGCCCUAUCAUAGUUUUGACUGGAACGUAGUGGGCUCCAGUGCUUUCGACGGGUAACGGAGAAUUAGGGUUCUAUUCCGGAGAGGGAGCCUGAGAAACGGCUACCACAUCCAAGGAAGGCAGCAGGCGCGCAAAUUACCCAAUCCCAACACGGGGAGGUAGUGACAAUAAAUACUGAUACAGGGCUCUUUUGGGUCUUGUAAUUGGAAUGAGUACAAUCUAAAUCCCUUAACGAGGAACAAUUGGAGGGCAAGUCUGGUG